rfam:Gossypium arboreum cultivar AKA8401 contig_23418_5, whole genome shotgun sequence.
UAUUAAAGGUUUCAUCCAUUUAUUCUAUUAAUAAUUGGUUUGAUUAAUGAAAUAACCAAAUAGUGACAUGUGGCAUGCCAUGUGUAGCUUGUGUUGAUCAAAGUAGAAAUGGAUGAAAUUUUUACCA